rnacentral:rRNA from 1 species
AACGUAGGAGACGAACGUUAUCCGGAGUUACUGGGCGUAAAGGGCGUGUAGGCGGUUUGUUAAGUCUGGCGUGAAAGCUCCCGGCUAAACCGGGAGAGGUCGUUGGAUACUGGCGAACUCGAGGAUGGUAGAGGCGUGUGGAAUUCCGGGUGUAGUGGUGAAAUGCGUAGAGAUCCGGAGGAACACCAGUGGCGAAGGCGACACGCUGGGCCAUACCUGACGCUAAAGCGCGACAGCAUGGGGAGCAAACAGG